GACGAACGCUGGCGGCGUGCUUAACACAUGCCAGUCGAGCGGAAAGGCCCUUCGGGGUCCUCGAGCGGCGAACGGGUGAGUAACACGUGAGUAAUCUGCCCUUGGCUUUGGGAUAACUACCGGAAACGGUGGCUAAUACCGGAUACGACAACCGUCUGCAUGGGCUGGUUGUGGAAAGUUUUUUCGGCCAGGGAUGUGCUCGCGGCCUAUCAGCUUGUUGGUGGGGUAAUGGCCUACCAAGGCUUCGACGGGUAGCCGGCCUGAGAGGGUGACCGGCCACACUGGGACUGAGACACGGCCCAGACUCCUACGGGAGGCAGCAGUGGGGAAUAUUGGACAAUGGGCGGAAGCCUGAUCCAGCAACGCCGCGUGAGGGAUGACGGCCUUCGGGUUGUAAACCUCUUUCAGUACCGACGAAGCGCCGAUGAUGGUGGUGACGGUAGGUACAGAAGAAGCACCGGCCAACUACGUG
rnacentral:rRNA from 1 species